rnacentral:RNase_P_RNA from 1 species
CAGGGUAUGCGGUCGCGGCAUAUCCCGCAAAAAGGAUGUGACGAGGAAAGUCCGGGCUUCACAGGGCAGGAUGCCGGAUAACGUCCGGCUGGGGAAACCCACGGGAAAGCGCAACAGAGAACGACCGCCGGCGUCAUUGACGCCGGUAAGGGUGAAAAGGCAGUGUAAGAGACUACCGCCUGGCCAGUAAUGGGCAGGGCAUAUGCAAGCCCCAUCCGAAGCAAGGCAAAAAGGGAGCGAUACGGCGGCCCGCCGUGCUCCAGGUAAGCCGCUUGAUCCGUCCGGCAACGGGCGGGCUAGACAGAUGACCGCACACGACAGAACCCGGCUUAUCGCUCUGCC